ensembl:lncRNA UBBP4 ubiquitin B pseudogene 4
AGUGCUGGUGCUGCAAGAAAGUUUCCAGAGCUUUCGAGGAAGGUUUCUUUAACUCGAAUUCAUCCGCCCAAUAAUUUUCUUAUAUUUUCCUAAAGAAGAGAAGUGCAUAGAGGAGAAGGGACAUAAUUUGUUAGGAUCCUUUCUUACGCUAUGGGAAUUUGGGGCUCAGUUGAAAAGCCUGAACUGCGUCUGGGGAUGUUGGGCGCGGCGAACUACUUUCAGUGGCGCACGGAGACGGUGUCUAUGUAAGAAGUGAUAACGCAACACACCUUGCACAAAUUUGCGCUCUGCCAAACCAGAGCAUUCAGGCACGACUGGCUUUGUUGGGUGAGGUUGUUGUGGUGUUCCUGUGGCUGGACGUGAUUCGCAGCAUCCUCGUAUCCGCUAACAGGUCAAAAUGCGGAUCUUCGUGAAAACCCUUACCGGCAAGAUCAUCACCCUUGAAGUGGAGCCCAGUGCCACUAUCGAAAAUGUCAAAGCCAAAAUCCAAGAUAAAGAAGGCAAUCCCUGUGACCAGCAGAGGCUCAUCUUUGCAGGCAAGCAGCGGGAAGAUGGCCGCAGUCUUUCUGACUACAACAUCCAGAAAGAGUCGACCCUGCAUCUGGUCCUGCGUCGGAGAGGUGGUAUGCAGAUCUUCGUGAAGACCCUGACCGGCAAGACCAUCACCCUGGAAGUGGAGCCCAGUGACACCAUCGAAAAUGUGAAGGCCAAGAUCCAAGAUAAAGAAGGCAUCCCCCCCGACCAGCAGAGGCUCAUCUUUGCAGGCAAGCAGCUGGAAGAUGGCCGCAGUCUUUCUGACUACAACAUCCAGAAAGAGUCGACCCUGCAUCUGGUCCUGCGUCUGAGAGGUGGUAUGCAGAUCUUCGUGAAGACCCUGACCGGCAAGACCAUCACCCUGGAAGUGGAGCCCAGUGACACCAUCGAAAAUGUGAAGGCCAAGAUCCAAGAUAAAGAAGGCAUCCCCCCGAUCAGCAGAGGCUCAUCUUUGCAGGCAAGCAGCUGGAAGAUGGCGGUACUCUUUCUGACUACAACAUCCAGAAGGAGUCGACCCUGCACCUGGUCCUGCGUCUGAGAGGUGGUAUGAAGAUCUUCGUGAAGACCCUGACUGGAAAGACCAUCACCCUGGAGGUGGAGCCCAGUGACACCAUCGAAAAUGUGAAAGCCAAGAUCCAGGAUGAAGAAGGCAUCCCCCCCGAUCAGCAGAGGCUCAUCUUUGCAGGCAAGAAGUUGGAAGAUGGCCGCACUCUUUCUGACUACAGCAUCCAGAAAGAGUCGACCCUGCACCUGGUCCUGCGCCUGAGGGGUGGCUGUUAAUUCUUCAGUCUUGCAUUAGCAGUGCCCACUGAUGGCAUUACUCUGCACUAUAGCCAUUUGCCCCAACUUAGGUUUAGAAAUUACAAGUUUCAGUAAUAGCUGAACCUGUUCAAAAUGUUAAUAAAGGUUUCGUUGAAUGGUAGCAUA